rnacentral:rRNA from 1 species
GACGAACGCUGGCGGCGUGCCUAAUACAUGCAAGUAGAACGAGUUGCGAACGGGUGAGUAACGCGUGGUAACCUGCCUCAUAGCGGGGGACAACUAUUGGAAACGAUAGCUAAUACCGCAUAUGUGAGAUGGACCUGCGUGGUAUUAGCUAGUUGGUGAGGUAAAGGCUCACCUAGGCGACGAUCCCUAGCUGGUCUGAGAGGGUGACCAGCCACACUGGAACUGAGACACGGUCCAGACUCCUACGGGAGGCAGCAGUAGGGAAUCUUGCACAAUGGGCGCAAGCCUGAUGCAGCCAUGCCGGUUGUGAAGAAGGCCUUCGGGUUGUAAAGCACUUUCAGCAAGGAGGCGUUACUCGCAGAAGAAGCACCGGCUAACUCCGUGCCAGCAGCCGCGGUAAUAC